rnacentral:rRNA from 1 species
GUCGAACGAAGAGCGAUGGAAGCUUGCUUCUAUUAAUCUUAGUGGCGAACGGGUGAGUAACGCGUAAUCAACCUGCCCUUCAGAGGGGGACAACAGUUGGAAACGACUGCUAAUACCGCAUACGAUCCAAUCUCGGCAUCGAGACUGGAUGAAAGGUGGCCUCUAUUUAUAAGCUAUCACUGAAGGAGGGGAUUGCGUCUGAUUAGCUAGUUGGAGGGGUAACGGCCCACCAAGGCGAUGAUCAGUAGCCGGUCUGAGAGGAUGAACGGCCACAUUGGGACUGAGACACGGCCCAGACUCCUACGGGAGGCAGCAGUGGGGAAUCUUCCGCAAUGGACGAAAGUCUGACGGAGCAACGCCGCGUGAGUGAUGACGGCCUUCGGGUUGUAAAGCUCUGUUAAUCGGGACGAAUGGUUCUUGUGUGAAUAGUGCGAGGAUUUGACGGUACCGGAAUAGAAAGCCACGGCUAACUACGUGCCAGCAGCCGCGGUAAUACGUAGGUGGCAAGCGUUGUCCGGAAUUAUUGGGCGUAAAGCGCGCGCAGGCGGAUUGGUCAGUCUGUCUUAAAAGUUCGGGGCUUAACCCCGUGAUGGGAUGGAAACUGCCAAUCUAGAGUAUCGGAGAGGAAAAGUGGAAUUCCUAGUGUAGCGGUGAAAUGCGUA